UUUUAUUAAAAUAGAAUGUUUAAGUUAAUUUUAUAAAUAAUUUUUUUAUAAAUGAUUUUAAAUUUAUAUUAAUUAAUAUGAUAUAAAAUAAUUUUUGUUUAAGUAUAAAGUAAAAAUAAAUUUUUUAAAAUUUAAAUUUAGUAAUGAAAGUGAAUAUUGUUUAAAAUUAAUUAAGUAAAUUUUAUUUGUUGUACCUUUUGUAUCAGGGUUGAUUAAUAAAAAUAUUUUUAUUAUAAAAUAAAUCUCGAAUUUAAAAGAUCUAACUAAAAAUUUAAGUUAUUGUUGAAUAAAUAUUUUUAAUUUUUAUUUAGUAAUGAAAUGUUAAUCAUUUUUAAAUAUAUCUAGUUUUUUAAGAAUUGAAUAUAAAUUCAGCUUUAAAAUUAUUAUUUGAUUAAAUUUAUAAAUUAAUUAUAAUUUUAAUGUAAAUAUAUUAAGGAUAAACUUAAUAUAUUAUUUAUAAUAUUAAUAAAAAAAAUUAUUUAUAAGUAUUUAUAAAAUUUAAUAUCUUUUUAAAAAAUUUUAUAAUUUAUAUUUUAAAAUUUUUAAAAUUUUUAAUAUUUAAUAUUUAAUGUUAUUUAUUAAAAAAAAAUAUUUAAUAAUUAUUUAUUUAUUAAAAUGAUUAUAUUAGUAAAAAUUAAUUUGUUUGUAAAUUUAAUUUUAAUUAAUUUGUUUUAAGGAAUUAGACAAAAUAAAUUGAUUUAUAAAAUUAUAUAUUUACCUGUUUAUCAAAAACAUGUCUUAUUGUUUAAAUAAUAAGUCUAUUCUGCCCAUUGAAUUAAAUGUUUAAAAGGCUGCAGUAUAUUGACUGUACAAAGGUAGCAAAAUCAUUAGUUUUUUAAUUGAAAACUAGAAUGAAAGAAUGAAUAAAAUAUAAAUUGUCUCAAAAUAAAUAUAUUGAAUUUAAAUAAAAAGUAAAAAUGCUUUUAUUUUUUUAUUAGACGAGAAGACCCUAAGAAUUUAAUAAUUAUUUAAAUUAAUUAUUUUUGAAAUUUAUUUUAAUUUAAAUAAUUAUUUUACUGGGAGGGUAAUUAAAAAUAUUAAACUUUAAUUUAAAUUUAACUUUGAUUAAUGAUUAAUUGAUAAUUUUUAUAAUUAUAAGAAAUAAUUACCUUAGGGAUAACAGCGUAAUAAUUUUGGAGAGUUCAUAUUGAUAAAAUUGUUUGCGACCUCGAUGUUGAAUUAAAAUAAAAAUUAAAUGGAGAUAUUUAAAUUUUUAGUCUGUUCGACUAUUAAAAUUUUACAUGAUUUGAGUUCAGAUCGGUGUAAGCCAGAUCGGUUUUUAUCUAUAAAUACUUAUUUAUUUUAUUGUACGAAAGGACUUAAAAUAUGAAAUAAUUUUUUUUUUAUGAUUAUUAAUAAUUUGAAAUAAAUUGAAAGUUGAAUUUUUAAAAUUUAAAUUAAAACUAAAACAAUUU
rnacentral:rRNA from 1 species